AUCGAACGCUGGCGGCAGGCCUAACACAUGCAAGUCGAGCGAGCGGCGGACGGGCGAGUAAUGUAUGGGGACUGCCCGAUAGAGGGGGAUAACUAUUGGAAACGGUGGCUAAUACCGCAUACUAUCGGAUAACCCAUAUGGGAUUAGCUUGUAGGUGGGGUAAAGGCUCACCUAGGCGACGAUCUCUAGCUGGUCUGAGAGGAUGAUCAGCCACACGGGAAGUGAGACACGGCCCAGACUCCUACGGGGACAGCAGUGGGGAAUAUUGCACAAUGGGUGCAGGCCUGAUGCAGCCAGGCCGCGUGUAUGAAGAGGGCCUUAGGGUUGUAAGGUACUUUCAUCGGGAAGGCGUUACCCGCAGAAGAAGCACCGGCUAACUCCGUGCCAGCAGCCGCGGUAAUUC
rnacentral:rRNA from 1 species